GAUGAACGCUGGCGGCGUGCCUAAUACAUGCAAGUCGAGCGAACAGACGAGGAGCUUGCUCCUCUGACGUUAGCGUCGGACGGGUGAGUAACACGUGGAUAACCUACCUAUAAGACUGGGAUAACUUCGGGAAACCGGAGCUAAUACCGGAUAAUAUAUUGAACCGCAUGGUUCAAUAGUUAAAGACGGUUUUGCUGUCACUUAUAGAUGGAUCCGCGCCGCAUUAGCUAGUUGGUAAGGUAACGGCUUACCAAGGCAACGAUGCGUAGCGGACCUGAGAGGAGGAACGGCAACAAGGGAAAGGAGACAAGGUCAAGAAAACGAAGGGAGGAAGAAGUAGGGAAGAUGGAAAAAAGGGAGAAAGAAUGAUGGAGAAAAGACGAGUGAAUGAAGAAGGAAUUAGGGUAGGAAAGUACUGUCAGAGGGGAGGAAGGGAGGAAAGAUAAAAACUGUGCGCAGUGACGGUACCAGAAGAAGAAGCAACGGCUAAAUCCGUG
rnacentral:rRNA from 1 species